AUAGGAAAAAAGAUGUAUAAAAAGACUGGUAAUACAUAUCAGGACAAUUUAUUCGUGAAAAAGAUCUGAAACGAUUACGAGCGGAAAAAAAUGUCAUUAAAAACUGUUAUUGUUCUCAUUGUCGUGUUUUCAUUGGUACAAUUAAUUCAAGCAGAAUUUUGUAAGGGAUUUGGAAUUGACGUUCCAUUAACAGAAUGCAGAGAACAGUGUGAAGUAGUAGGAGAACCUUUUUUGGAGUGCCCAUCAGGAUUACAAUGCUGUCUAAUUGCAUGAAUAUUGAUUUAUUAUCGCAAUUUAGCGGACUUGUAAAUAAACAUUUGAAAUUAAACUUGAACCUUGAUUGACCAAA